rnacentral:lncRNA from 1 species
CGGGGCAGAGGCGGGGAGGCAGGUGGUCCAGGUGCGCCCCUGCCCGGGGGGGCGAGGCGUCCGGCGGGAAGGCUGCAGCGACCGCAUGGAGGAAGGGGCGGCAGGUGCGCGGCGCUGGAAGAACCGGCGGCUGGGAGAGCAUCUCUGCCUCGCCCAUCUUGCCCCCUCCCCACCUCCGCUCUGGCGUUGGGACGGGAGGAGGAGGGAGGAAUGGAACCAGGGAGUCCGAAGUACAGCUUUGACAACUGUCGCGCUGGCCGGGAUCAGCAGAUCUGUUUUCACUACCUCAAGAUAUGGCACGCACACUUGGGAAACCCAGAAUAAUGGGAACUCAAAACUGUUAUUCAUUCGAGAGCUCAUCAGUCCAAGAAGAUGCCACCUUGGUCAGAUGUGGAUGAGGCAUGACUGGACCGACCCUGUGGGCUCGGCACCCACCUGUGCUAUAAACUGUUCAUGUGAAAACUGUGUGCCCCUGGGUUGUCUGACCUGCAGCUGUACCGCACUUUUAGUACAAUGCCUGCCACCCACAGGAGUGUUGUCACAAUUGAAGUGAAUGCUAUAAAGCAUUGUGAGCAACUCAAAAGAAGGGUGCUGCUUAACUACCCAAAAUUACUAUACACCCACAGGUAAAGCUCUCUCUCUCUCUUUCUCUCUCU